rnacentral:lncRNA from 8 species
AAACAGCCGGUGGUCCUCCAGAAUAAACACGCGUCACCAUUGAUGGGAGCCAUCCUCCUGGUGCUGGGAGAGAGAGAGAGAGAAACAACAGAUGGAUGUCCUUACCCUGUGGAGUCGUACUGGGAGGCUGAGGAGGUGUUGAGGCCUAUAGGGUUGGUCCUCUGAGGAGAGGGAGGGGUUCUCUGCAUCCAGCAGUCUGGGUACCUGAUCACCAGCCAGGUGCUCUCCAGCUCCACCCCCUGUGCCGGAGGACAAACAGCAGGCACAGUCUAAAUACAUGCAAUGGGACCAAUAGCAUAGUCCCACAAGUACAAUGGAACCAAUAACAUAGCUUGUUUUUCCUUUGCUGCCAGAAAGGAGUUGAAUCGUUGUACUUUUCUCUCUGUGUUGAACGAUGGUGAUACUAUUUAUGUGCAAGACUCAAGCUCUACACUGAAGGCUCUUGACUCUGUGUGUCAUGCAGAGACGUCUAACUCAACAUUGUGAUCUCUACAGUGCUGUCAGGUGGACAUCAGCAGCAACACGCAGGCUCAAACACUGGUACAUUCUUAUUCAGAAGGCCAUUUAAGGAAAACUGAGGGGAGGGGAGUUAGAGGAGAUGAAGUGAGAGUGAAGGGAGGAAAGGAUGGGGAGAUAGAAGGAGUGGAGAGAGGGAGAAGACAGACCGACACACACACACACAAUCAGCAAUUUCCACGUUCACAAUAGAGAGCUCAGACACUGACCUUCAACCCCAUCAGUGCAAUCCCCUUGAGGAUGUAUCCCUUUGGCCAAUCAGGGUUGAGCUGGAUGGACAUCUGAGCAUCUGAUAGGGCAGAGGGGUAGAGCUCCAGACACCAGUAGCAGUAUGAACCAUUCCCAAAGAACCAAAGAAAUACAAGAAAUUAGAUCAAAGUAGAAAUAGUCCAUCCAGACCUUUACCACCUAGGAAAUCUGUUGGACCACUUACAUUAGAGUACUCCUGCAAUAGUCUAGGGAGUGACACACCUAUACCACACACACAAGCAAAAACACACACACAC